rnacentral:rRNA from 1 species
UACAGAGGAGCCAAGCGUUGUCCGGAUUGACUGGGCGUAAAGCGCACGCAGGCGGUCGCGCGCGUGGGGUGUGAAAUCUGGCCGCUUAACGGCCAGGCGCCAUCCCAUACGGCGCGGCUGGAGUGAUGCAGAGGUCGAUGGAAUUGCCGGUGUAGUGGUGAAAUGCGUAGAUAUCGUUUGGAACGCCAAUGGUGAAAACAGGUUGCUGGGGAUGUGCUGACGCUGAGACACGAAAGCCAGGGGAGCAAACGGG